GUUUUAAUAAUUUAAUAAAAAUGUUGGUCUUGUAAACCAAAAAUAAGUGAAACCUUUUAAAACU
rnacentral:tRNA from 1 species